UGCCAGCCGCCGCGGUAACACGGGGGGCGCAAGCGUUAAUCGGAAUUACUGGGCGUAAAGCGCGCGUAGGCGGCUUGUUAAGUCAGAUGUGAAAUCCCCGGGCUCAACCUGGGAACUGCAUCCGAUACUGGCAGGCUAGAGUAUGUUAGAGGCAAGUGGAACUCCGGGUGUAGCGGUGAAAUGCGUAGAUAUCCGGAGGAACACCAGUGGCGAAGGCGACUUCCUGGACCAAUACUGACGCUGAGGUGCGAAAGCGUGGGGAGCAAACAGGAUUAGAUA
rnacentral:rRNA from 1 species